UUUCUCCUCCUCACUCACGCCCAUAGUAACAAUGACCAGUCUUGCGUAGAUCACCAGUGUCAGUGUUCACUGUGUCUUUGGUGACGCGUGGUCGGCUCUGUUAUCGGGAUGAAACGCAUGUUUCAUGCUGUGGUGUUUGUAUUGGUAAGUGCGAGGCAGACAAGUCACGCUGAUGUAAUUCAGUCAUAGAUCUUCACAUAUCGGGCUUAAAUGUGUCGAUAUAGCAAAAUAUGUGGAUUUAAAACGCGAAACUUGCAGAACCUCAAAAAAAAUUUGUCCAGGGCGGCAGCGAAGGGUUGUCUUUUCACAAACACGGUGGUGGGAUCCUUCAUCGUUACCCCCGCGGCUUCUAGCCUCUCUACGAAGGAAUUUAGACUCUAUUCCGACUCUUAUGGCAAGACAGCUGCAGGGAAGUAGCGGGGAUGCCACCACUGCACAUGUAAAGACAAUUCCUUACUCCCUCGCUUGACAAAUUUUUUAAUUAGGUUUAGGUUCUGAAAGUUUCGCGUAUUCUAAUUCACAUGUUUUGCUACAUCGACACCAUUCAAGCCCGACAUGUGAAGAUCCGUGAUUGACUUUUUCUCGCAACCAUCACUACAAGCACCACAAAAUGAGGAGAAAAAAAUGCGUUGCAAUCAAAGGGAAAGCCGAUUACGCGUCACCAAACACACGAUGAAUACUGAGCGAGGAGGAGAGAUGCACUUGAGAUGUCAACAAGUCAAUUUGUCCCAGCCCAUUUUUUAUGCUUGCUAAGAGAUCUUAAAUAAGACGUGCUCCCCAAGCAGCCUUUGCAAUUUCAACUCAAGAUCGGUAUUCGCUGACUGCAUUAUUAUUAUUAUUGAUAAUAUCAUUAUUACUAUUACUAAUAAUAUCAUUAUCAUUAUUAUUACUAUCAUCAUCAUUAGGAUCGUCAGUUUAUUUAAUAGUCUUUUUAUUGCUAUCAGGUGUUUCUUUAUCAAUAUAUCAUUGAACAUUGUGUCUGUUCAGUCAUUCAUUACAAUUAACGUCGCUAAGUAUCAGAAGUACAAAUGACAAACACGUCUUCCCUGCUGCUUGACCGCCCUGCUCCCGGGGCGUGAAGGCGAAGCAUGCAGGAGUGAGGUGACGGGGCAAGAGGUUACCAAGCGGCAUCGUGGAACAUAUUCUGUCUUAAUCAGGGCCUUUGGACUCUCCAGAAAGGUGAGCAGAAAGGCGAAGACACGCCUUCCCCGUGUAUAAAUGCAGCUGCAAUAGAUUGUCUGUCAGAAUCAGCUCACCGCAGCCUCUCAACAUGGAGCUCGCUCUCCUCGUAUGCCUGGUGGCCGCCGCCACUACCGCCCCGCACUUCUUCCGGCGAUGUGGGCGUCCUUAUCACGGCGAGGGCAAACAUAUCGCUAUCCUGUCGCAGACUCAAGAGGGUCCUGACGGCGCCAGGUUUUGCUACGCAUUCUAGACGGAGAACGGCAACGACGUGGAGGCGAGGAAGACAUCUGUAUCCAUGGACCAGAGCAACAUCGACGGCAGCAGCUUCAGGCGAGUCACGUGUGCAAGGAAAAACUUGUCAGUACCUCACCAGCAAGUGUCUCAACACACCUGACGCCUGCUGAUCCAGCUUCGCUCAGCUCAAUCUUCCCCGUCAUUCCAGCUUCCCUUCCCCUUAGGCAGGCACCUGCAGUGUGACCUAUGUGGCUGACGAGAACGGCUACCGCCCAGUCCCUGCUCAUCCCCACGCCUCGCCCGCUCCCCGACCACGUCAUCGAGCAGUUUCGCUUCGCCGAGACCCAACGCAGGUUUGACUAAGGCGCCUCCCCUAUGCCGGUCCCGUCCAUGCAUGAAGGCGGACAUCCGAUGAACACUGGCCCUCAUCUGGUUACGCUGACCACGCGUCACUCGUCAGAAAGUGUCCAGCCAGUUAAACCUAACCAGGCAUGUCGUCAGGAUAAUAAAGACAGAGGAGAUGAACACUGGUGCUUCCUUCCUCCCUCAACCGUCUCGAGGAGCAGCAGCAGCAGUAGUGGUGGUGGUGGUGGUGGUGGUGGGUGGUGACAAUGCGCACUCAGUGAACCUGGCGUAACACUAGCAGCACCUCCGCACCACAUCCCCACCCCAAUUCCUAUCCGCUCCCCCACCACCACCACCACUACCCAACACCAUCGUACAGAAGACUGGAUCAGUUCUUGCUGGUUAUACACAAGUAGAGGAUGCGGCCUAUAACUUUAGAUUGCUUGACUGAUUUGAGGCGCUGAAAUAACACUUAUAACAAAGAACAGAAGAACAAGUGAAGCGCAAAUUCAGCCCCACAAAUCCAUUAAUCCACCGAUCAGAGAUCAGUGGCGGCGUGCUGGCUACACGACGUCUCAUUAACGUAACCACAGAGUACAUUUAGUUAGUCAAAAAAAAUUACUAGAGAAUGAGAAGUAAUCUGCUUGCCUUGUGGUUGUUAUACCCUUUCCCUUCUUUCGUCACCUUAUUAUACCAUCACUGUCGAUACUA